UACAGAGGUGGCAAGCGUUGUUCGGAUUCAUUGGGCGUAAAGGGUCCGUAGGCGGAUUGGAAAGUCAGAUGUGAAAUCCUACAGCUUAACUGUGGAAUUGCAUUUGAAACUCCCAGUCUGGAGUGUGAGAGGGGUGAAGGGAAUUCCCGGUGUAAGGGUGAAAUCUGCAGAGAUCGGGAAGAACACCAGUCGCGAAGGCGCUUCACUGGCUCAUCACUGACGCUGAGGGACGAAAGCUAGGGGAGCGAACGGG
rnacentral:rRNA from 1 species